UACGUAGGGGGCAAGCGUUGUCCGGAUUUAUUGGGCGUAAAGGGCGUGUAGGCGGCCAGGUAGGUCCGUUGUGAAAACUCGAGGCUCAACCUCGAGACGUCGAUGGAAACCAUCUGGCUAGAGUCCGGAAGAGGAGAGUGGAAUUCCUGGUGUAGCGGUGAAAUGCGCAGAUAUCAGGAAGAACACCUAUGGCGAAGGCAGCUCUCUGGGACGGUACUGACGCUGAGACGCGAAAGCGUGGGGAGCGAACAGG
rnacentral:rRNA from 1 species